rnacentral:tRNA from 1 species
AGCAACAUAGCUCAGAGGAAGAGCGACGGGCUCAUAACCCGUAGGCCCCUGGAUCGACACCAGGUGUUGCUA